rnacentral:rRNA from 1 species
CAGUAGCCGCGGGAACACGUAGGGUGCGAGCGUUAAUCGGAGUUACUGGGCGUAAAGCGUGCGCAGGCGGUUUUGUAAGACAGGCGUGAAAUCCCCGGGCUCAACCUGGGAAUGGCGCUUGUGACUGCAAAGCUAGAGUGCGGCAGAGGGGGAUGGAAUUCCGCGUGUAGCAGUGAAAUGCGUAGAUAUGCGGAGGAACACCGAUGGCGAAGGCAAUCUCCUGGGCCUGCACUGUCGCUCAUGCACGAAAGCGCGGGGAGCAAAUGGGAUUAGAUACCCCCGUAGUCCCUGUCUCUUAUAA